rnacentral:rRNA from 1 species
CGAGAAAAGCUUCUAGUUAGAAAACAACGGCCCGUACCGUAAACCGACACAGGUAGUCGAGGAGAGUAUCCUAAGGUGUGCGAGAGAACUCUCGUUAAGGAACUCGGCAAAAUGACCCCGUAACUUCGGGAGAAGGGGUGCUGUUCGCAAGAACAGCCGCAGUGAAUAGGCCCAAGCGACUGUUUAUCAAAAACACAGGUCUCUGCAAAAUCGAAAGAUGAAGUAUAGGGGCUGACGCCUGCCCGGUGCUGGAAGGUUAAGAGGAGUGCUUAGCGCAAGCGAAGGUACGAAUUGAAGCCCCAGUAAACGGCGGCCGUAACGAUAACGGUCCUAAGGUAGCGAAAUUCCUUGUCGGGUAAGUUCCGACCCGCACGAAAGGCGUAACGAUUUGGGCACUGUCUCAACGAGAGACUCGGUGAAAUUUUAGUACCUGUGAAGAUGCAGGUUACCCGCGACAGGACGGAAAGACCCCAUGGAGCUUUACUGUAAUUUGAUAUUGAGUGUCUGUACCGCAUGUACAGGAUAGGUAGGAGCCGUAGAGAUCGGGACGCUAGUUUCGAUGGAGGCAAUGGUGGGAUACUACCCUUGCGUUAUGGCCACUCUAACCCGCAUCACUAAUCGUGAUGGGAGACAGUGUCAGAUGGGCAGUUUGACUGGGGCGGUCGCCUCCUAAAAGGUAACGGAGGCGCCCAAAGGUUCCCUCAGAAUGGUUGGAAAUCAUUCGUAGAGUGCAAAGGCAAAAGGGAGCUUGACUGCGAGAGCUACAACUCGAGCAGGGACGAAAGUCGGGCUUAGUGAUCCGGUGGUUCCGCAUGGAAGGGCCAUCGCUCAACGGAUAAAAGCUACCCUGGGGAUAACAGGCUUAUCUCCCCCAAGAGUCCACAUCGACGGGGAGGUUUGGCACCUCGAUGUCGGCUCGUCGCAUCCUGGGGCUGUAGUCGGUCCCAAGGGUUGGGCUGUUCGCCCAUUAAAGCGGCACGCGAGCUGGGUUCAGAACGUCGUGAGACAGUUCGGUCCCUAUCCGUCGCGGGCGUUGGAAAUUUGAGAGGAGCUGUCCUUAGUACGAGAGGACCGGGAUGGACUUACCGCUGGUGUACCAGUUGUCUCGCCAGAGGCAUCGCUGGGUAGCUAUGUAGGGAAGGGAUAAACGCUGAAAGCAUCUAAGUGUGAAGCCCACCUCAAGAUGAGAUUUCCCAUUUCUUUAAGAAAGUAAGAUCCCUGAGAGAUGAUCAGGUAGAUAGGUCAGGAGUGGAAGUGCAGCGAUGUACGGAGCGGACUGAUACUAAUCGAUCGAGGACUUAACC